rnacentral:tRNA from 2 species
UCUAAUAUGGCAGAUUAGUGCAAUGGAUUUAAGCUUCAUAAAUAAAGUAUUUCAACUUUUAUUAGAA